rnacentral:rRNA from 1 species
UACAGAGGUCUCAAGCGUUGUUCGGAUUCAUUGGGCGUAAAGGGUGCGUAGGCGGCGCGGUAAGUCGGGUGUGAAAUCUCGGAGCUUAACUCCGAAACUGCAUUCGAUACUGCUGUGCUUGAGGACUGGAGAGGAGACUGGAAUUUACGGUGUAGCGGUGAAAUGCGUAGAUAUCGUAAGGAAGACCAGUGGCGAAGGCGGGUCUCUGGACAGUUCCUGACGCUGAGGCACGAAGGUCAGGGGAGCAAAACGGGG